ACGAUGAAGCCCUUCGGGGUGGAUUAGUGGCGAACGGGUGAGUAACACGUGGGCAAUCUGCCCUUCACUCUGGGACAAGCCCUGGAAACGGGGUCUAAUACCGGAUAACACCUUCUGCCUCAUGGCGGGGGGUUGAAAGCUCCGGCGGUGAAGGAUGAGCCCGCGGCCUAUCAGCUUGUUGGUGGGGUAAUGGCCUACCAAGGCGACGACGGGUAGCCGGCCUGAGAGGGCGACCGGCCACACUGGGACUGAGACACGGCCCAGACUCCUACGGGAGGCAGCAGUGGGGAAUAUUGCACAAUGGGCGAAAGCCUGAUGCAGCGACGCCGCGUGAGGGAUGACGGCCUUCGGGUUGUAAACCUCUUUCAGCAGGGAAGAAGCGAAAGUGACGGUACCUGCAGAAGAAGCGCCGGCUAACUACGUGCCAGCAGCCGCGGUAAUACGUAGGGCGCAAGCGUUGUCCGGAAUUAUUGGGCGUAAAGAGCUCGUAGGCGGCCAGUCGCGUCGGGUGUGAAAGACCGGGGCUUAACCCCGGUUCUGCAUUCGAUACGGGCUGGCUAGAGUGUGGUAGGGGAGAUCGGAAUUCCUGGUGUAGCGGUGAAAUGCGCAGAUAUCAGGAGGAACACCGGUGGCGAAGGCGGAUCUCUGGGCCAUUACUGACGCUGAGGAGCGAAAGCGUGGGGAGCGAACAGGAUUAGAUACCCUGGUAGUCCACGCCGUAAACGGUGGGAACUAGGUGUUGGCGACAUUCCACGUCGUCGGUGCCGCAGCUAACGCAUUAAGUUCCCCCGCCUGGGGAGUACGGCCGCAAGGCUAAAACUCAAAGGAAUUGACGGGGGG
rnacentral:rRNA from 1 species